rnacentral:rRNA from 1 species
UACGUAGGGGUCUAGCGUUGUCCGGAAUUAUUGGGCGUAAAGAGCUCGUAGGCGGGAUGGCAAGUCGGUCGUGAAAUCCCUCGGCUCAACCGAGGAACGUCGAUCGAUACUGCUGUUCUUGAGGAUUGCAGAGGAGACUGGAAUUCCCGGUGUAGCGGUGAAAUGUGUAGAGAUCGGGAGGAACACCGGUGGCGAAGGCGGGUCUCUGGGCAAUUCCUGACGCUGAGGCGCGAAAGCGUGGGGAGCAAACGGG